GAGUUUGAUCCUGGCUCAGGAUGAACGCCGGCGGUGUGCCUAAUACAUGCAAGUCGUACGCACUGGCCCAACUGAUUAAUGGUGCUUGCACCUGAUUGACGAUGGAUCACCAGUGAGUGGCGGACGGGUGAGUAACACGUAGGUAACCUGCCCCGGAGCGGGGGAUAACAUUUGGAAACAGAUGCUAAUACCGCAUAACAACAAAAGCCACAUGGCUUUUGUUUGAAAGAUGGCUUUGGCUAUCACUCUGGGAUGGACCUGCGGUGCAUUAGCUAGUUGGUAAGGUAACGGCUUACCAAGGCGAUGAUGCAUAGCCGAGUUGAGAGACUGAUCGGCCACAAUGGAACUGAGACACGGUCCAUACUCCUACGGGAGGCAGCAGUAGGGGAUCUUCCACAAUGGGCGCAAGCCUGAUGGAGCAACACCGCGUGAGUGAAGAAGGGUUUCGGCUCGUAAAGCUCUGUUGUUAGAGAAGAACGUGCGUGAGAGCAACUGUUCACGCAGUGACGGUAUCUAACCAGAAAGUCACGGCUAACUACGUGCCAGCAGCCGCGGUAAUACGUAGGUGGCAAGCGUUAUCCGGAUUUAUUGGGCGUAAAGCGAGCGCAGGCGGUUUGAUAAGUCUGAUGUGAAAGCCUUUGGCUUAACCAAAGAAGUGCAUCGGAAACUGUCAGACUUGAGUGCAGAAGAGGACAGUGGAACUCCAUGUGUAGCGGUGAAAUGCGUAGA
rnacentral:rRNA from 1 species